UACGUAAGGGUGCGAGCGUUAAUCGGAAUUACUGGGCGUAAAGCGUGCGCAGGCGGUUUUGUAAGACAGGCGUGAAAUCCCCGAGCUUAACUUGGGAAUGGCGCUUGUGACUGCAAGGCUAGAGUAUGUCAGAGGGGGGUAGAAUUCCACGUGUAGCAGUGAAAUGCGUAGAGAUGUGGAGGAAUACCGAUGGCGAAGGCAGCCCCCUGGGACGUCACUGACGCUCAUGCACGAAAGCGUGGGGAGCAAACAGG
rnacentral:rRNA from 1 species